rnacentral:rRNA from 1 species
GACGAACCGUGCGAACGUUAUUCGGAAUCACUGGGCUUAAAGCGCGCGUAGGCGGCGUCGUAAGUCAGGGGUGAAAUCCCAACGGCUCAACCGUGGAAUUGCCUUUGAUACUGCGAUGCUCGAGGGAGGUAGGGGCAAGUGGAACUUCCAGUGGAGCGGUGAAAUGUGUUGAGAUUGGAAGGAACGCCGGUGGCGAAAGCGACUUGCUGGAUCUCUUCUGACGCUGAGGCGCGAAAGCUAGGGUAGCGAACGGGAUUAGAUACCCCGGUAGUCCUAGCCUUAAACGAUGGGUACUGAGUAGGAAGCGUUCCGAUGACGCCUCCUGCUGUAGCGAAAGUGUUAAGUACCCCGCCUGGGGAGUAUGGUCGCAAGGCUGAA